rnacentral:rRNA from 1 species
UACGUAGGGCGCAAGCGUUGUCCGGAAUUAUUGGGCGUAAAGAGCUCGUAGGCGGUUUGUCGCGUCUGCUGUGAAAGUCCGAGGCUCAACCUCGGAUCUGCAGUGGGUACGGGCAGACUAGAGUGUGGUAGGGGAGACUGGAAUUCCUGGUGUAGCGGUGGAAUGCGCAGAUAUCAGGAGGAACACCAAUGGCGAAGGCAGGUCUCUGGGCCACAACUGACGCUGAGGAGCGAAAGCGUGGGUAGCAAACAGG